rnacentral:rRNA from 1 species
GUAGUCAUAUGCUUGUCUCAAAGAUUAAGCCAUGCAUGUCUAAGUAUAAGCAAUAUAUACAGUGAAACUGCGAAUGGCUCAUUAAAUCAGUUAUCGUUUAUUUGAUAGUACCUUACUACUUGGAUAACCGUGGUAAUUCUAGAGCUAAUACAUGCUAAAAACCUCGACUUCGGAAGGGGUGUAUUUAUUAGAUAAAAAACCAAUGCCCUUCGGGGCUCCUUGGUGAAUCAUGAUAACUUAACGAAUCGCAUGGCCUUGUGCCGGCGAUGGUUCAUUCAAAUUCCUGCCCUAUCAACUUUCGAUGGUAGGAUAGUGGCCUACCAUGGUAUCAACGGGUAACGGGGAAU